rnacentral:rRNA from 1 species
GUGAAGUUCGGGCCAGCAGCCGCGGUAGGAAGGGGGGUCCUAGCGUUGGUCGGAAUCAUUGGGCGUAAAGCGUGUGCAGGUGGUUUUGUAAGUUGGAUGUGAAAGCCUUUGGCUUAACCCAAGAAGUGCAUUCAAAACUGCAGAACUUGAGUAAGGAAGAGGGUCGUGGAAUUCCUGGUGUAGUGGUGAAAUACGUAGAUAUCAGGAGGAACACCGGUGGCGAAGGCGGCGACCUGGUCCUAUACUGACACUCAUACACGAAAGCGUGGGGAUCAAACAGGAUUAGAUACCCGUGUAGUC